rnacentral:rRNA from 1 species
UACGGGGGGGGCAAGCGUUGUUCGGAAUUACUGGGCGUAAAGGGCGCGUAGGCGGCCUGUUAAGUCCCGUGUGAAAUCCCUCGGCUCAACCGAGGAACUGCACGGGAAACUGGCGGGCUUGAGUUCGGGAGAGGGAAGCGGAAUUCCGGGUGUAGCGGUGAAAUGCGUAGAUAUCCGGAGGAACACCGGUGGCGAAGGUGGCUUCCUGGACCGACAAUGACGUUGAGGCGCGAAAGCUAGGGGAGCAAACGGG